rnacentral:rRNA from 1 species
GACGAACGCUGGCGGCGUGCCUAACACAUGCAAGUCGAACGAGACCGCCGUGUCUAUUGGCGCACGUGUGCGUAACGCGUGGGAACCUACCCUUAGGUUCGGAAUAACUGCCCGAAGGGGGUGCUAAGACCGGAUAAUGUCGUCGGACCAAGGAUCUAUCGCCUUUGGAUGGGCCCGCGUUGGUUUAGCUGGUUGGUAGGGUAAAAGCAUACCAAGGUGACGUUCCUUAGCUGGUCUGCGAGGAAGAUCAGCCACGCUGGGGGUAAGACACGGCCCAGAAUCGUACGGGAGGGAGGAGUGUGGAAUAUUGGAAGAGGGGGGAAGGCAUGAACCAGCAAUGCGGGGUAAGUGAUGCUGCCGUUAGGGUAGUAAAGCUGUUUUAGCCGAGAUGAUAAUGACGGUAACGGGAGAAUAAGCUCCGGCUAACUACGUG